rnacentral:rRNA from 1 species
UACGGAGGGUGCGAGCGUUGUCCGGAAUCACUGGGCGUAAAGCGCGUGUAGGCGGCUCGAUAAGUCUGCUGUGAAAGUCCAGGGCUCAACCCUGGGAUGCCGGUGGAUACUGUCGAGCUCGAGUCCGGAAGAGGCGAGUGGAAUUCCUGGUGUAGCGGUGAAAUGCGCAGAUAUCAGGAGGAACACCAAUGGCGAAGGCAGCUCGCUGGGACGUGACUGACGCUGAGACGCGAAAGCGUGGGGAGCGAACAGG